UCAGAGGCGAUGAAAGACGUGAUAGCCUGCGAAAAGCUCCGGGGAGGCGGCAAAUAUCCUUUGAUCCGGAGAUGUCUGAAUGGGGGAACCCACCUACUUUAAGGUAGGUAUUGCAACAUGAAUACAUAGUGUUGCAAGGCGAACGAGGGGAAGUGAAACAUCUCAGUACCCUUAGGAAAAGAAAUCAAUUGAGAUUCCCUCAGUAGCGGCGAGCGAACGGGGAUCAGCCCAUUAAGUUAUGUGUGUUUUAGUGGAACGCUCUGGGAAGUGCGAACGUAGAGGGUGAUAUUCCCGUACACGAAAGGGCACACAUAAUGAUGACGAGUAGGGCGAGGCACGUGAAACCUUGUCUGAAUAUGGGGGGACCAUCCUCCAAGGCUAAAUACUCCUGACUGACCGAUAGUGAACCAGUACCGUGAGGGAAAGGCGAAAAGAACCCCUGUGAGGGGAGUGAAAUAGAUCCUGAAACCGCAUGCAUACAAGCAGUGGGAGCACCUUCGUGGUGUGACUGCGUACCUUUUGUAUAAUGGGU
rnacentral:rRNA from 1 species